ensembl:lncRNA
GCUCUCAAGUCCCUGGUGUGUUGGGGAUGAAUGUACUUGGGCGAUGCUACCAGGAGCUCUUUGGACAGCAUGGCCCCUCUUUGUUCGAUUUUCCUCCGGUUUCUAGUGCGCCACUUUCAGUUUUUCAAGCCUUACAACACUGCCAUCAAGGUAGCGAACAAUCUCUCGUUGAGUGUAUGACUAAGGUAAGGGUGCGUGGUCCUCGGGCAUGUCGUGUCACAGGUGGUACUAUUAAGUUGGUUGCAGCAACCUGUGCAGAACAGUUGGCAGGUAGUACAGUACUGUUCGAGCCCAUUGAGUCUGGGUUACCUGAAGGGUUGUUGGCAUCCCCCGCCUUGGUGCGAGUGAUUGGAGGCUCAGUUUAUGUGCCAGUGGUCAACAUAGGCACGUCUGAUGUCCUCCUUUAUCCACGCAGAGUAUUGGGUACUCUGGUUAGAGCGAAUGUUGUUAGUUUGCCGGCAGGUGUUACUGAAGUUAGACCCACUACAGCAAAUGUGUACUCUCAAGCCACUCUAGCAGUUAGUGCCCCCGUUUUAGAGCAGAUUGCAAAAGUAGAUCUGACUGCAUUACCAGAACUGGAACAGGGAAAGGUGAGGGCCUUGCUUACAAAGUAUCAGAUGGUAUUCUCUGAACAUGACGGUGAUUUGGGAUGUACAAGUCUUAUAUCUCAUGAUAUCCCACUCUUAGAUGACAUCCCUGUGCGUCAGCGACAUCGCCGGGUGCCUCCCUCUGAGUAUGAGGUUGUUCGAGCCCACAUCAAUCAGCUGUUGGAGUCUCGGGUAAUUAGGGAAAGUUGCAGCCCAUAUGCCUCCCCAAUCGUCUUGGUAAAAAAAAAGGAUGGUAGUCUACGCUUAUGUGUUGACUACCGCCAGUUAAACGCCAAGACUAGAAAGGAUGCAUUUCCUUUGCCUCGGAUUGAGGAGUCACUGGAUGCGUUGACAGGGGCCUGUUGGUUUUCCACUAUGGAUUUAGCUAGUGGUUAUAACCAGGUCCCUGUCACAGAGGGGGAUAAGCCGAAGACCGCUUUUUGCACCCCAUUUGGCUUGUUUGAAUGGAAUCGUAUGCCCUUUGGGUUGUGCAAUGCCCCCUCUACCUUCCAGCGACUUAUGGAGAGGGUAUUCGGGGACCAACAGUGUCAGUCCUUACUUUUAUAUCUAGACGAUAUUGUGGUGUUCUCCACCUCGAUCACUCAACACUUGGAGAGGUUAGAGGUUGUUUUAAGCCGUC